UCAUUCACCCAAUCUCCCCUGAGCACCCACCCACCCUGAGCCAGGCCUCAGCUGGGCAGGGAGGACACUCUAGCUGGUCAAGUGCGGCCACGGUCUGGACUCUCAGGCCAAGAGCCAAAUCCAACCACGACUGCGGUCAGUCCUGGGAGGGAGUUCACAUGAGACACACCAGGAGAGGGCUGAGGCCACGAGAAAGAAAGGGAGAGGGCAGGGCUCCAGGCCCCAGCUCAUGCCCACUGCAGCGCCUCCACACUGCUGUGUCUGCUCCUCAAAUAGGUCCUGCCGCUCAAAAUGGCUUUGGACCAGAUAAAGAGGAUGGGGACGGAAGCAGGGAGCCUGGGGCUGAGAUUCUGGGCACAGGCCCAGAGGAAAGGAUCCCUCACGCUCCCAUCGUCCCCCCAGGCUUUGGAGAGGGUGGAAAACCCCAGAAGCCAGACCUGAGAGGACUACAGCCUCAGACAUCAGGCCCCGCCACUCAAAACGGCUAUGGACCAGGUAGGAGUGGGGCUGCGGUUUGGGGAGGCCUAGAGCUGGGGCCCCAGGUUCCUCACCUGCUCCGUGUCUCUCCACCAGGCUAUGUUGGGGGUGUGAAACCACAGAAACCAGGUGAGCCUUGCCCCGGCCUGUCCCUCUGCCUCCCCAAACCCUGAGCUCCCUCCCCUCAUUCAUACCUGCCUUGAUCUAUUCCCCCAGGAUUAUAGUAUGGGACUGGGCUGGGAGCCCAGCCAGGUGAAGGGGAUAGAGUUUGGGGUUCCAGGGUCCACAUCUGGGUGGCCUUUUCCUUCCAGGGGUGGGACUGGUGAAUGAUGGAGAGGGGUGGGGGGGCAUCUCCAGGAUCACUGGCUUCUGGCUUGGUCUUGGAGGAGAGCUCUAGGCGCUGUGCCCCCAGCUUAGCUCAGCCCUCCCUCCCCGACAAGCCCCCCAGCUCAGAAUGGCCACAGAGCAGGUCCUGAGAGGAUGGAGGAGC